rnacentral:rRNA from 1 species
UGGGGAAUAUUGUACAAUGGGGGCAACCCUGAUCCAGCAAUGCCGCGUGAGUGAAGAAGGCCCUAGGGUUGUAAAGCUCUUUCACCCGUGACGAUGAUGACGGUAGCGGGAGAAGAAGCCCCGGCUAAUACCGUGCCAGCAGCCGCGGUAAUACGGAAGGGGCUAGCGUUGUUCGGAAGUACUGGGCGUAAAGAGCGCGUAGGCGGCUCUUCAAGUUAGGCGUGAAAGGCCUGGGCUCAACCUGGGAACUGCGCUUGAUACUGGAGGGCUUGAGUCCGGGAGAGGGUGGUGGAAUUCCCAGUGUAGAGGUGAAAUUCGUAGAUAUUGGGAGGAACACCGGUGGCGAAGGCGGCCACCUGGCCCGGAACUGACGCUGAGGCGCGAAAGCGUGGGGAGCAAACAGGAUUAGAUACCCGCGUAGUCC